rfam:Candidate division WOR_3 bacterium SM23_42 WORSMTZ_44, whole genome shotgun sequence.
UAAGUGAUGCAAAGAUGCUGGAUGCUCAAGCCGGGCUUGAAUCAUCGAUGGGUGCAACACUAGCUGCUCUUGCCGGCAUUAACAACGUUUCGGGUCCGG